CCUACGGGAGGCAGCAGUGAGGAAUAUUGGACAAUGGUCGAAAGACUGAUCCAGCCAUGCCGCGUGCAGGAAGACGGCCCUAUGGGUUGUAAACUGCUUUUGUUUGGGAAGAAACCUUUCUACGUGUAGAAAGCUGACGGUACCAUACGAAUAAGCACCGGCUAACUCCGUGCCAGCAGCCGCGGUAAUACGGAGGGUGCAAGCGUUAUCCGGAUUUAUUGGGUUUAAAGGGUCCGUAGGCGGACUUAUAAGUCAGUGGUGAAAUCCUGCAGCUCAACUGUAGAACUGCCAUUGAUACUGUAAGUCUUGAAUUCGGUUGAAGUGGGCGGAAUAUGGCAUGUAGCGGUGAAAUGCUUAGAUAUGCCAUAGAACACCGAUUGCGUAGGCAGCUCACUAAGCCUGGAUUGACGCUGAGGGACGAAAGCGUGGGUAGCGAACAGGAUUGGAUACCCUGGUAGUCCACGCCGUAAACGANAGAUACUCACAUAGNGAUACUACGUAGUGUNUAUAGAGAGA
rnacentral:rRNA from 1 species